CGUGUAGGCGGUUUCUUAAGUCUGAUGUGAAAGCCCCGGGCUCAACCCGGGAAGUGCAUUGGAUACUGGGAGACUUGAAUACGGGAGAGGGUAGUGGAAUUCCUAGUGUAGGAGUGAAAUCCGUAGAUAUUAGGAGGAACACCGGUGGCGAAGGCGGCUACCUGGACCGAUAUUGACGCUGAGACGCGAAAGCGUGGGGAGCAAACAGGAUUAGAUACCCUGGUAGUCCACGCCGUAAACGAUGAGAACUAGGUGUUGCGGGUAUUGACCCCUGCAGUGCCGCAGCUAACGCAUUAAGUUCUCCGCCUGGAAGUACGGUCGCAAGACUAAA
rnacentral:rRNA from 1 species